rnacentral:rRNA from 1 species
AGUGAACGCUGGCGGUAGGCCUAACACAUGCAAGUCGAACGGCAGCACAGUAAGAGCUUGCUCUUACGGGUGGCGAGUGGCGGACGGGUGAGGAAUACAUCGGAAUCUACUUUUUCGUGGGGGAUAACGUAGGGAAACUUACGCUAAUACCGCAUACGACCUACGGGUGAAAGCAGGGGAUCUUCGGACCUUGCGCGAUUGAAUGAGCCGAUGUCGGAUUAGCUAGUUGGCGGGGUAAAGGCCCACCAAGGCGACGAUCCGUAGCUGGUCGGAGAGGAUGGUCGCCCACCUUGGAGCGGAGCCACGGUCCAUGGGCCUACGGUAGGCACCAGUGGGGAAUAUGGGACAAUGGGCGCAAACCUUGUCCAGCCAGCCCGCGUGGGUUAAGACGGCGUUCGGUUCGUAAAGCCGUUUUUUUGGGUAAAAACAGCAGCAGGUUAAUACCCCGCUGUUCUGACGGUACCCAAUGAAUAAGCACCGGCUAACUUCGUG